rnacentral:rRNA from 1 species
CCUACGGGCGGCAGCAGUGGGGAAUAUUGGGCAAUGGGCGAAAGCCUGACCCAGCAACGCCGCGUGAAGGAAGACGGCUUUCGGGUUGUAAACUGCUUUUAUAAGCGAGAAAUAUGAUGGUAACUUAUGAAUAAGGAUCGGCUAACUACGUGCCAGCAGCCGCGGUCAUACGUAGGAUCCGAGCAUUAUCCGGAGUGACUGGGUGUAAAGAGUUGCGUAGGUGGCAUAAUAAGUAGCUAGUGAAAUCUGGUGGCUCAACCAUUCAGACUAUUAGCUAAACUGGUAAGCUCGAGACCGUUAGGGGUAACUGGAAUUUCUAGUGUAGGAGUGAAAUCCGUAGAUAUUAGAAGGAACACCAAUAGCGUAGGCAGGUUGCUGGGACGGUUCUGACACUAAGGCACGAAAGCGUAGGGAGCAAACGGGAUUAGAUACCCCAGUAGUC